rnacentral:rRNA from 1 species
ACGGGAGGCAGCAGUGGGGAAUAUUGCGCAAUGGGCGAAAGCCUGACGCAGCAACGCCGCGUGGGUGAUGGAGGCCUUCGGGUUGUAAAGCCCUGUCGGGUGGAACGAACAGGUCCUGAGGAGGGGACUCUGACGGUACCAUCGGAGGAAGCACCGGCUAACUUCGUGCCAGCAGCCGCGGUAAU